rnacentral:rRNA from 1 species
GUGGGGAAUCUUAGACAAUGGGGGAAACCCUGAUCUAGCCAUGCCGCGUGAGCGAUGAAGGCCUUAGGGUUGUAAAGCUCUUUCAGCUGGGAAGAUAAUGACGGUACCAGCAGAAGAAGCCCCGGCUAACUCCGUGCCAGCAGCCGCGGUAAUACGGAGGGGGCUAGCGUUGUUCGGAAUUACUGGGCGUAAAGCGCACGUAGGCGGACUGGAAAGUCAGGGGUGAAAUCCCGGGGCUCAACCCCGGAACUGCCUUUGAAACUCCCAGUCUUGAGUUCGAGAGAGGUGAGUGGAAUUCCGAGUGUAGAGGUGAAAUUCGUAGAUAUUCGGAGGAACACCAGUGGCGAAGGCGGCUCACUGGCUCGAUACUGACGCUGAGGUGCGAAAGCGUGGGGAGCAAACAGGAUUAGAAACCCUUGUAGUCC